GGGGGAGCAAGCGUUGUUCGGAUUUACUGGGCGUAAAGGGCGCGUAGGCGGCCACCGCAAGUCGACUGUGAAAUCUCCGGGCUUAACCCGGAAAGGUCAGCCGAUACUGCGGGGCUAGAGUGCAGAAGGGGCAACUGGAAUUCUCGGUGUAGCGGUGAAAUGCGUAGAUAUCGAGAGGAACACCUGCGGCGAAGGCGGGUUGCUGGGCUGACACUGACGCUGAUGCGCGAAAGCUAGGGGAGCGAACGGGAUUAGAUACCCCGGUAGUCCUAGCCUUAAACGAUGAAUGCUUGGUGUCUGGGGUUUUAUAGUCCCCGGGUGCCGUCGCUAACGCUUUAAGCAUUCCGCCUGGGGAGUACGGUCGCAAGACUG
rnacentral:rRNA from 1 species